AUCUUAUUUCAUCGUUCAAGUUAGGAAGAAAAGAAAAUUUUGUUUAGCCUCUUUUCCAUUGCCGAACCAAAAAUCCAUAGCUAAAGAUGACACCGAAAUGUCGAAAAGCAAAGGGAAAGCUAAAACCGUUCACAAAUAUUUAUCCUGGUUUGUGCUAUCAUAACAUCAACUUACAAUUGGAUAGGCAAUUAAUAUAAUCAAAUAAUAUUACUGUCAAUGACAAUAUGUGGUACGCAUUAAUUUGAUCAAUUGAGAUGAUUGGGUUAUGUACACCUAUAUGCGUUGUGGUUAUAUGGUUGCAUCAUGUUAAUGAUAUGUUAUUUUGAAUUGUUAUGCUCAAUAAUUGUUGAUAAAGAAUAAUGUCUUAGUAACGGUAUCAAAUAGAGUUACGAGUAUAGUUGACAUGCUAUAAGAUUAAAUAUACAGAGAUACUUCGGUUUAUACCUAUGAGCACUGGGCGCGUAUUACUUCAAACAUUUUGACAAGUGACGGGCACACAUUACUUCAAUUUUUAUUGAUAACCGUUGAGUGCAUUUUACUUUAGACGUACCAAUGAGCACUGGGUGCAUUACAAGUGUGUUGGAAGAUUAAUUCGUGUAUUCGUUCUUGAAUCCAAGUCAAUCAAUAAAGGUUGAAAAGAGUAGAUAAAAUAAACUAAUAUAAUUGAUAAUUAAGUAUGUUUAAGCAGUGUAAAUGAAUUUGAAUUAUGAAACAUGAAACGAGAUGCUAAUAUCCUAGGGAUGCACCGAUAAUUCUAAUAUCCGGUAAAGUAAAUGAAUACCUUGAGGGUGUUUAGAUAAAAUAAAUAAGAUGAUGUAACACGUGUUUAAGGUUGUUAUUAUAAGUUUAGUAUUUUAGGUUUAUUUCAUCUUAUGCUUUUCAAUUUAACGUUAAGUACGUAUUGGUUUCAAAUUAUGUUAUAUUAUUCAGCGAACAGCUAUAUUUGUUUUCGUGUAUAGGUCUCUAACCUGAAACCUUAGCUCAGAAAAUCAAUUAGCUCUCUAUUGUGUAUGACGUAUACCUAGGUCGGUUGAUUUUGUUAUUUAAGUUGAUAUUUUGAUAUGGAUGGUGACUUGUCCUAUAAAGUUUAUUACGCAUGCUUAUACAAGUUUGAAUUUACUAAUUUAUAAAUACACAUGUUUGGUUUCAUUAAUUGAUUUAUUCGUUAUGCUAUUGUUCACUUUGCUUUGGCAAUGUAAUUUUCUGGGUUUGAUUUUUUUUUAAUGAAA